rnacentral:rRNA from 1 species
CCUACGGGAGGCAGCAGUAGGGAAUAUUGCACAAUGGGGGAAAGCCUGAUGGAGCGACGCCGCGUGAGUGAAGAAGGAUUUCGGUAUGUAAAGCUCUAUCAGCAGGGAAGAAGCAAGACGGUACCUGACUAAGAAGCCCAGGCUAACUACGUGCCAGAAGCCGCGGCAAUACGUAGGGAGCAAGCGUUAUCCGGAUUUACGUGGUGUAAAGGGAGCGUAGACGGUAUGGCAAGUCUGAAGUGAAAGCCCAGGGCUUAACCGUGGGACUGCAUUGGAAACUGUUAGACUAGAGUGCUGGAGAGGUAAGUGGAAUUCCUUGUGUAGCGGUGAAAUGCGUAGAUAUUAGGAGGAACACCAGUGGCGAAGGCGGCUUACUGGACAGUAACUGACGUUGAGGCUCGAAAGCGUGGGGAGCAAACAGGAUUAGAUACCCGAGUAGUC